UGUGUGAGAGAGUCAGCGCGCAGCAGGGGGCGGCACGAGUAUGUGUGUGUGUGAGAGAGUAAGCGCGGAGCAGGGGGCGGCGCGCGUGUGUGUGUGUGAGAGAGUCAGUCAAGGCGUGCACAGGGUGCUUUGGGGAAUACCUUGUGACGUAGCGGGAGUCCGGGCAACGACGUCAGGGGAUCCUCCGUGAACCCGGAAGUGGGAGCGCACGAAUUAUCCUCGGAUGUAGCGCAGAGAGCGGCCAAGCGCUAUGCGGAUUCCUGACGUGGGUCCGCGUUGCGGUCGAGGAUAGAGGUGCAGGGGUUUCCGACUUACGUCCGUGAGAAGUAUGAGCACGGCGCGCGUCGAGGGAGGUCCUCCGAAGAAGCGGAAGUCUUCUUGCGCCGCGGCGGGGUGCAUCACUGGCUGUGGACCGAAGAACACAAUCGGCGUCUUUAACCAGCAGGUAUGACUUGGUUUGGCAAGUGUUGUGUCCUCUGCUCAAGAAACAACAGGGAGAAUGAAGAGAUGUCUUCAACCAGACGUCUUCAUACAUCAAAUGCUGAUAUUCACGUCAUUUUCCCUGAUCAACUAUCUACAACCACCUCUGAUGCUUCCCUAACUGUUUGUGACAACACACUGUUAUCAUCAACCCCCUGUUAUUCUAGUAUUAGUUCUACUCCUGAUUAUCUUACAAUCCUCCCUGAUCUGGUGUCAGGUGGACAAACUGGUGAAGGUUCUGUUUAUGCAACAGUUCCCGAACUAAAGCCACCACCUGUAAUCAUACGGUCCCAAAGAUAAUCAUUGAUAAGGAAGAGAUCUUGCGUGACUACGAAACACCCAGCCAUGAUUUCUAGAUUAUCUGCAGCAGGACUUGAAAUUUCAAAAAACUUCUUCUGCAUGUAUCGCCUUUCUUACUCUUAUUAUUCUCCACUUCCACACACUACUGUACAUGGAGCAAUCACUGCAAUGUGCCU